AACGCACCUUGCACCCCUUGGCAUUCCGAGGGGUACGCCUGUUUGAGUGUCGUGAACUCCUCCACCUCCCGCUUUUUUCGAAAGGUGUGGUUAGGCUGGGAUUUGGGAGCUUGCGGGUCCCUGGUCGAUCCGCUCUCCUUGAAUGCAUUAGCGAAGCCCUGGCGGCCUUGGUGUGAUAGUCAUCUACGCCUUGGCUCAGUCCGUUAUGGGGCAUUGCUCACAACCGUCCCGCAAGGGACAACGUUUACCAACUUGACCUCAAAUCAGGCGGGACUACCCGCUGAACUUAA
rnacentral:misc_RNA from 1 species